GAUGAACGCUAGCUACAGGCUUAACACAUGCAAGUCGAGGGGAAACGAUAGAGAAAGCUUGCUUUUUCUAGGCGUCGACCGGCGCACGGGUGAGUAACGCGUAUCCAACCUGCCCACCACUUGGGGAUAACCUUGCGAAAGUAAGACUAAUACCCAAUGAUAUCUCUAGAAGACGUCUGAAAGGGAUUAAAGAUUUAUCGGUGAUGGAUGGGGAUGCGUCUGAUUAGCUUGUUGGCGGGGUAACGGCCCACCAAGGCUACGAUCAGUAGGGGUUCUGAGAGGAAGGUCCCCCACAUUGGAACUGAGACACGGUCCAAACUCCUACGGGAGGCAGCAGUGAGGAAUAUUGGUCAAUGGACGAGAGUCUGAACCAGCCAAGUAGCGUGCAGGAUGACGGCCCUAUGGGUUGUAAACUGCUUUUAUAAGGGAAUAAAGUGAGUCUCGUGAGACUUUUUGCAUGUACCUUAUGAAUAAGGACCGGCUAAUUCCGUGCCAGCAGCCGCCGUAA
rnacentral:rRNA from 1 species